UCCUGGGAAAAUACGCUUUCAGGAAUCAGAAAUACUUAGUCCGGGAAACAGUUUGUCCAUGUUUGAAACCCCAUUUUGUAAAGUAGGUGUGGGAAUUUGUUAUGACAUUCGGUUUGCAGAGCUUGCACAGAUCUAUGCUAAGAAAGGUUGCCAACUUUUGGUAUAUCCUGGAGCCUUCAAUAUGACUACAGGGCCAGCACACUGGGAGCUGUUGCAGAGGGGAGG